rnacentral:rRNA from 1 species
AUUGAACGCUGGCGGCAGGCCUAACACAUGCAAGUCGCACGAGUGGCGGACGGGUGAGUAAUGUCUGGGAAACUACCUUAUGGAGGGGGAUAACUACGGGCAACUGUAGCUAAUACCGCGUACCAUCGGAUGUGCCCAGCUGGGAUUAGGUAGUUGGUGAGGUACAGGCUCACCAAGCCGACGAUCUCUAGCUGGUCUGAGAGGAUGACCAGCCACACUGGGACUGAGACACGGCCCAGACUCCUACGGGAGGCAGCAGUGGGGAAUAUUGCACAAUGGGCGCAAGCCUGAUGCAGCCAUGCCGCGUGUAUGAAGAAGGCCGUAGGGUUGUAAAGUACUUUCAGUCGGGAGGCGUUACCGGCAGAAGAAGCACCGGCUAACGCCGUGCCAGCAGCCGCGGUAAUAC